GGUACCCAUAUGUGAUGUUCCCAAACCCUAACCCUUACACCUGCUGCUGUAUGAAGGAUCAUUUGAUGUGCUUCACGGACGGCUACAAUUAUCUGCUGCUGCUGCUGCUAUAAGAUGAACAAUCGGAGGUCGACCAUCCAACAAACAGCAUAGCAUCAUGAAGAAGCUCGCAUUUUUCCUGAUUCUGUACUCAAAUUUCACAUUCACACAAUCAGCAAAACUCGAUAAGCAAGAAGUGAAGGUACUCGCACAAAUUUGGGGAAAGUUAGGGCUAAGAGAGAAUUGGCGAUGGGAUUUUGACGAGGAUCCGUGCAGUGGCCACGGGGAGUGGCAGUUCACUGUUCGAUGUGUCUGCUCUUUCGAUAAUAAUUCCACCUGCCGUGUUACUGAAAUGUAUGUACGUGCGUACGUAGUGUUUCGAUCUUAUUGCUUUAAUUAUUUGUUAAGUAGCUAGCAUUCUUAAGAUUUUAA